rnacentral:ncRNA from 1 species
AGUUGCUCCAAGGGGAGCCCCGUGAGGGGGCUGAGAGGCCACGACGCCUGGGACCCAUUCCCAAGCACCGUGGCGACCCUUGAACCUGAUCCGGGUCAUGCCGGCGGAGGGAUGGGAAGCAUGCCGACG